UACGUAGGGACCAAGCGUUGUUCGGAUUUACUGGGCGUAAAGGGCGCGUAGGCGGCGUGGUAAGUCACUUGUGAAAUCUCUGAGCUUAACUCAGAACGGCCAAGUGAUACUGCUGUGCUAGAGUGCAGAAGGGGCAAUCGGAAUUCUUGGUGUAGCGGUGAAAUGCGUAGAUAUCAGGAGGAACACCGGUGGCGAAGGCGGGUCUCUGGGCCGAUACUGACGCUGAGGAGCGAAAGCGUGGGGAGCGAACAGG
rnacentral:rRNA from 1 species